rnacentral:rRNA from 1 species
CGACGGGGGGAGCAAGCGUUGUUCGGAAUCACUGGGCGUAAAGGGCGUGUAGGCGGUUCGGUAAGUGGAAUGUGAAAUCCCUCGGCUCACCCGAGGACCUGCAUCCCAAACUGCCGAGCUUGAGUAUGGGAGAGGAUGAGGGAAUUCCUGGUGUAGCGGUGAAAUGCGCAGAUAUCAGGAGGAACAUCAGUGGCGAAGGCGACCGCCUGGCCCAACACUGACGCUGAGGUGCGAAAGCGUGGGUAGCAAACAGG